GACGAACGCUGGCGGCGUGCCUAACACAUGCAAGUCGAGCGAGGUCCAUCCAGUGGCAACACUGGGGACGACCUAGCGGCGAACGGGUGAGUAACACGUGAGGAACUUGCCCCGGAGUACGGGAUAACUCGAGGAAACUCGAGCUAAUACCGUAUGCCCUCUUCUGGUCGCAUGGCCGGAUGAGGAAAGAUUUAUCGCUCCGGGAGAGCCUCGCGGCCUAUCAGCUAGUUGGUGGAGUAACGGCCCACCAAGGCAUCGACGGGUAGCUGGUCUGAGAGGACGAUCAGCCACACUGGGACUGAGACACGGCCCAGACUCCUACGGGAGGCAGCAGUGGGGAAUCUUGCGCAAUGGGCGAAAGCCUGACGCAGCAACGCCGCGUGCGGGAUGAAGGCCUUCGGGUUGUAAACCGCUUUCAGCAGGGAAGAAAUUGACGGUACCUGCAGAAGAAGCCCCGGCCAACUACGUGCCAGCAGCCGCCGUAAAAC
rnacentral:rRNA from 1 species